rnacentral:rRNA from 1 species
UACAGAGGGUGCGAGCGUUAAUCGGAAUUACUGGGCGUAAAGCGCGCGUAGGCGGCUUUGCAAGUCGGGUGUGAAAUCCCCAGGCUUAACCUGGGAACUGCAUUUGUGACUGCAUCGCUGGAGUGCGGCAGAGGGGGAUGGAAUUCCGCGUGUAGCAGUGAAAUGCGUAGAUAUGCGGAGGAACACCGAUGGCGAAGGCAAUCCCCUGGGCCUGCACUGACGCUCAUGCACGAAAGCGUGGGGAGCAAACAGG